ACAAUAGAUACCCGGGUAGUCCACGCCCUAAACGAUGCGAACUGGAUGUUGGGUACAUUACGGUACUCAGUGUCGAAGCUAACGCGUUAAGUUCGCCGCCUGGGGAGUACGGUCGCAAGACUGAAACUCAAAGGAAUUGACGGGGGCCCGCACAAGCGGUGGAGUAUGUGGUUUAAUUCGAUGCAACGCGAAGAACCUUACCUGGCAUUGACAUCUGUCGAAUCCUGCAGAGAUGCGGGAGUGCCGCAAGGAACGACAAGACAGGUGCUGCAUGGCUGUCGUCAGCUCGUGUCGUGAGAUGUUGGGUUAAGUCCCGCAACGAGCGCAACCCUUGUCCCUAGUUGCCAACACGUAAUGGUGGGAACUCUAGGGAGACUGCCGGUGACAAACCGGAGGAAGGUGGGGAUGACGUCAAGUCCUCAUGGCCCUUACGGCCAGGGCUACACACGUACUACAAUGGUCGGUACAGAGGGUUGCGAAGCCGCGAGGUGGAGCCAAUCCCAGAAAGCCGAUCCCAGUCCGGAUUGGAGUCUGCAAC
rnacentral:rRNA from 1 species